UUCAACCUUAAACCAAAAUUCUGAGUGAUUUAACUUAAUUAUCACCUCCAACAAUUCUCAAACCAAACAAUUUUGGACUAGGCACCCCAGUUAAAACCUUCUGAUGGAUGCUCAAAUGACACAACCUUCAUAUUUUCUUAAAACAAAUAAAUUAAAGGAAAAGAGGAUAAACAAAAAGAAGAUAGAAAGGAAAAAGAAAAAGAAAGAGCAAAACCACUCCUCUCCUCCCCCAUGCUUCCUAC
rnacentral:lncRNA from 1 species